rnacentral:rRNA from 1 species
AGAGUUUGAUUCUGGCUCAGAACGAACGCUGGCGGCGUGGAUAAGACAUGCAAGUCGAACGGAGUGCAUCCAGUAGCAAUAUUGCCUGCACUCAGUGGCGAAAGGGUGCGUAACGCGUGAGUAAUCUACCGAAAAGUGGGGGAUAGCUCGCCGAAAGGCGAAUUAAUACCGCAUACCGCGCAAUUGAACAUUCAAAUGCGCAAAAGCCGGAGCAAUCCGGCGCUUAUUGAUGAGCUCGCGGCCUAUCAGCUAGUUGGUGGGAUAAAAGCCCACCAAGGCUAUGACGGGUAGCUGGUCUGAGAGGACGACCAGCCACACUGGAACUGAGACACGGUCCAGACACCUACGGGUGGCAGCAGUCGAGAAUUUUUCUCAAUGGGCGCAAGCCUGAAGGAGCGACGCCGCGUGGAGGAUGAAGGUCUUCGGAUUGUAAACUCCUGUCAUUGGUGAACAAAGCUAAGUUGCUUCACGGCAAUUUAGUCUGAUAGUAGCCAAAGAGGAAGAGACGGCUAACUCUGUGCCAGCAGCCGCGGUAAUACAGAGGUCUCAAGCGUUGUUCGGAUUUAUUGGGCGUAAAGGGUGCGUAGGCGGCGGGGCUAGUUGGAUGUGAAACGCCGUGGCUCAACCACGGCACUGCAUUCAAUACUGCCCUGCUAGAGCACUAGCGAGGAGGCUGGAAUUUACGGUGUAGCAGUGAAAUGCGUAGAUAUCGUAAGGAACACCAGUGGCGAAAGCGAGCCUCUAGAUAGUUUGCUGACGCUGAGGCACGAAAGCCAGGGGAGCAAACGGGAUUAGAUACCCCGGUAGUCCUGGCAGUAAACGGUGCGCGUUUGGUGUGAGAGGGAUCGACCCCUCUCGCGCCGGAGCUAACGCAUUAAACGCGCCGCCUGGGGAAUACGGUCGCAAGACUAAAACUCAAAGAAAUUGACGGGGGCCCGCACAAGCGGUGGAGUAUGUGGCUUAAUUCGAUCCACGCGAAAAACCUUACCUGGGUUUGACAUGCACUGCUAAGGCGGCGAAAGCCUUCGAGAGUAGAAAUACUCACCCUGCACAGGUGCUGCAUGGCUGUCGUCAGCUCGUGUCGUGAGAUGUUGGGUUAAGUCCCGCAACGAGCGCAACCCUCGUGCGCUGUUGCCAACCUUAAAGUUGGCUCUCUGCGUAAACUGCCCCGUGAAACGGGGAGGAAGGUGAGGAUGACGUCAAGUCAGCAUGGCCCUUACACCCAGGGCUGCACACGUACUACAAUGCCCAGCACAAUUCGAGCCUGCGCUGCGAAGUGCGGGAAAUCAGUAAAGCUGGGCGCAGUUCGGAUUGCAGGCUGCAACUCGCCUGCAUGAAGCUGGAAUCGCUAGUAAUGGCACAUCAGCUACGGUGCCGUGAAUACGUUCCCGGGCCUUGUACACACCGCCCGUCACAUCAUGGAAGUCACUUGUUCCCAAAAAGUCAGAGUCUUCAGAUUCUUGGCUGUAAGGAAUGAGAGGUAACU